rnacentral:lncRNA from 1 species
AUGCCUCGGAAAAUUGAGGAAAUCAAGGAUUUUCUGCUCACAGUCCGAUGAAAGGAUGCCAAAUCCGUCAAGAUCAAGAAAAAUAAGGACAAUGUGAAGUUUAAAGUUUGACACAGCAAAUACCUUUACACCCUGGUCAUCACUGACAAAGAGAAGGCAGAUAAACUGUAGUCCCUGCCCCCUGGUUUGGCAGUGAAGGAACUAA